GACAGAGGCCCCGAGCGUUAGGCGGAAUCACUGGGCUUAAAGCGUGUGUAGGCGGAUCGUUAAGUGUCUUGUGAAAUCCCACGGCUCACCCGUGGAACCGCUGGGCAUACUGGCGAUCUUGGGCCAACUUACGGACGGCAGCUGGAACAAGCGGUGGAGCGGUGAAAUGCGUAGAUAUCGCUUGGAACGCCAAAGGUGAAAACAGGUUGCUGGGGUUGUGCCGACGCUGAGACACGAAAGCCAGGGGAGCAAACGGG
rnacentral:rRNA from 1 species